rnacentral:lncRNA from 1 species
AAUGGUUGUGGCCUUUUGGGCAAGCCUGUGAGGAGAGGUGUUUGGGCAGGCUGGUUGUUUUGCAGGGGAAGUGCCGUUUCAGUAGUUUGUUGCCAUGCUUGGGUGGUGCUUGUUUGACAAAUAGUCAUCCUCUAGACGAGCAGUGCUCUGGCGGCAGGGGAGUGAGAAAUGUCAUGUACAGCCAGUCUUCUCCACGAGCCUUACACUGCCUCUCCCCCAGUGUCUGUAAAUGGCUGUAGAAAUGGCAGGGGGAGAAAUGGGGAAGAGGGGAGGUGCAGUUUCUGUGCAUGCUGUGUCCACGGAGCAGGUGUCAGCUCCUAAGAGCUGGGAGCCCUGCAGAGCGUCC